rnacentral:lncRNA from 1 species
GAAUAGAACAUAAGUAUAGGGUUUGGGGUUUAUCGUUUUGUUGGAUAAGUUUUAAAAGGUACAAACCUGAGCGAAUUUCAUGAUUUUUUUAUGGAAAGUUAAUAAUAGUGUUAACUACAUAUUAUUAAGUGUUUUUAUUACAUGAGUGCAUCAAAUAUUCACAUCUACCAUAUUUGAGGUUUGGCCGAGUUAUGCCAACGUCAUGGUUGACUUAUUGUAGAAUAAUUCGAGGUUUGGAUGAGUUAAUCAAACGACAUAGCUGACUUAACGUAAAUAAAUUUGUGGUUUGGCUGAGUUAUGCCAGCGUCAUGGUUGACUUAAACAGACCAUUUCGAGGUUUGGCUGAAUUAUUGUAACGAUAACAUGUA